UGAGGGUUUGAUCCUGGCCCAGGAUGAACGCUAGCGGCGUGCUUUAAGCAUGCAAGUGGGACGGUCCGUAGGACUGAACUGUUAACAGUUAACAAAUUAACAAGUUAACAAAUUGACUAAAUAUAUUAUCAUUAGUGAUGAGGACUUUUAGAUACUUGGACUUUACUGUAUACAAAGAAAGUAAAGUUUAUUAUCGAAAAUGUAUCUCUAUUACAAGAAACUUUUCAAGAAUAUAUUGGGAAUUAAAAGAUCAACUUUUAAGAGCGGCGCUUUCUGUAUGUCUUAACAUAGCAGAAGGGUCCGCAAAAUACUCCGACAAGGACUUUAAAAGAUAUUUAGAAAAUUCUUUGGGGUCUAUUAAUGAAUGUUUUGCCUGUAUAGAUAUUGCUUUUGAAAAUGAACUAAUAUCUAACGAAGAUUUUCUGAUUCUGAAAACAAUGUCAGAAUCGGUGGCAAAACAGCUUGGUGGGUUAAUUAAAAAGCUUCGAAAUUGAAAUAUUUUUAGUUAAUUGUUAAUUUUGUUAAUAGUUAAUUUGUUGAAUGUUCUGUCCUGCGGACAGUCGCGAACGGCUGAGUAACACGUAAGAACUUACCCCUUGGCGGGGAAUACCUCCGCGAAAGCGGGGCUAAUACCGCAUGACCUCCUGCUAUGCAGGAGAAAAGGAUUUAACUAUCCACCGAGGGAAAGGCUUGCGACCCAUCAGCUUGUUGGUGAGGUAAUGGCUCACCAAGGCUACGACGGGUAGGGGAUGUGAGAGCAUGUUCCCCCAGAAUGGGACUGAGACACGGCCCAUACACCUACGGGUGGCAGCAACUGGGAAUCGUACGCAAUGGACGAAAGUCUGACGUCGCGACGCCGCGUGAGGGAUGAAGGCGGAUUCGUUGUAAACCUCUUUUGCUCCGACUGAGAAGUCGGGGAGAAUAAGCACCGGCUAACUCCGUGCCAGCAGCAGCGGUAAUACGGAGGGUGCAAGCGUUAUCCGGAUUUAUUGGGCGUAAAGCGUUUCGUAGGCGACAUGAUAAGUCACCUUUUAAAGACUCCGGCUCAACUGGAGAAAGGGGGGUGAUACUGUCGUGUUUGAAUCAUUUAGGGGCUACCGGAACUAUCGGUGUAGGAGUGAAAUCCGUUGAUAUCGAUAGGAACACCAAGGGCGAAGGCAGGUAGCUGGG
rnacentral:rRNA from 1 species